ensembl:misc_RNA
UGGAUUGGCAGCCCUAUAUCUCCACAGAAACUGCAGCAGCAGUGUUAGUUUCCCAACACAUCCUGUCAAUGGGUCUCAAACCUGGCCUGGAGAGACCAUUCUAGGAUGAGACUAGUCCCCAUGGCCCUCUCUGUCCUUGGACUCU